AUGUUAUUUGGUGAUUUUCCAUCGUUCGAAUACCUUAGUGCUGUAUUGAAAUGCUCCCCCAGAGUUCUCCUAUUAAUUAUUUACAGGCCACCCACAUAUUCUGCAAUUUUUUUCGAUGACUUCACAGAAUUAUUGUCUAGCAUCUCCACAGAAUUUGACUGUCUAGUUAUAACUGGUGACUUCAAUUUUCAUACUGAUGAUUUGAAUGACAAGUGUGCAAAAAAACUUUUUACCAUUUUGGACACAUUUGAACUGUCUCAACAUGUGAAAGAGGCUACUCAUUGUAAGGGGCACACUCUAGACCUGGUUAUCACAAAGGGCCUCAAUGUUUCUGAUCUCUCUGUGACUGAUCCUUCCUUGUCUGACCACUUUUGUGUUUUCUUUAACAUAUCUUUUAUUCCCGACAUACAGACAAAAUCAAACACUGUCAAAAAACGGUAUAUCAAUGAAGAUUCUAAUGUACUUUUUAAAAAGGCCAUCUCCUUGCUACCACCUCUAAACCCAUGUUCUGCUGAUGAUCUUGUAGAAAACUUUAAUUUGAAAAUUUUGAAAGUCAUAGAUGUCAUUGCACCUUAUAAGGUUAAAACGAUUUCUGGAAAGCAAAAGGCACCCUGGAGAAAAGCUGCUUCGGUAACAGCACAGAAAAAAGAAUGCAGGAAGGUUGAACGCAUCUGGCGUAAAACAAAACUUCAUAUUCACCAUGAUAUCUAUAAAGAGAGCCUCCGUGCCUACAAUUUAGACUUAAAAAAUGCUAGAGAAACAUUUUUCUCCAAUAUCAUUAAAACCAACACUAAUAAUGCAAAAACCCUAUUUGCAACUGUUGACAGACUGACCAACCCCCCAACAGAAAUUCCACCUGAUCUCCAUUCCACGCAGAAAUGCAAUGAGUUUGCAGCUUUUUAUAUUGAUAAAAUUGAAGGUAUCAGACGCGCCGUCAAUAUCACCACGUCAAACAAAAAUGUUGGACUACCACCCUGUUCAGGCAAAAAUUACGUGGCAAGGAUGGCAUGCUUUGAUGUUAUAGACUCUCAAAAUCUUGUGGAAACUGUGACACAACUAAAGCCAUCCACCUGUUGCCUUGAUACUAUACCUACCAACCUCUUUAAGAAUGUUUUCGACUGCCUAGCAGUAGACAUAUUGCAGAUAGUUAACAACUCUCUCCAGUCAGGCAAGUUCCCAAAAGUUUUGAAAACUGCAGUUAUUAAACCCCUUUUAAAAAAGCGGAGCCUAGAUGCCACUAUUAUUAACAACUACAGACCAAUAUAUUUCAUUGUGUGUUUUAUUGUGUGUGAUGUACAGUGUCCUUGA
rnacentral:lncRNA from 1 species